UGGUGGUGACUAGCUACUGAAUCCUUGAUGUGUCAUCGAGGAUAACGUAAAGGAAAAUAAUGAUAUUACUUUACUAUUAGUGUCGUCCAAAUACUCGUGCCAGAAGACUCGGUAAGGCGAGAGACGCGAACGUUAUUCGUCUUGAUCAGGCGUAAAGGGUUUGUAGGCUGCUUUAAGCAUUCUAUAAUAAGUUUACUGCUAUAAGGCUAAGAUAAAAAUAAUAAAUUUAUACCCUAAGUUUGUUUUUAAAACAAAUAAGGGAUUUAAUAUAAUUUUAUUAAUUAGUUUUAUAGUUUAUUAUCAGAAUCAAUUAAAGCUAGAAUCUAAUGGAGGUUAAAACAAUACUUAAGGUAGGAGUACUAACCGUAAAUAUUAAGCAGAGUUUUAAUGGCGAAGGCAUUUAUCCACUAAAGAUUGACGCUGAGAAACGAAGGUGAGGGCAGAAAAAAGGAUUAGAGACCCUUGUAUUCCUCACUGUCAACGAUGAAUGGUAGUCAAUAGUUAGAAAUAAGCUAUAGGCGAUGUAAACACGUAAACCAUUCCGCCUUGUGAGUACGACUGCAAAGUUGAAAACAAAAAAAUUAGUCGGUUUCGGAGCAAACGAAGUGAAGCAUGUUAUUUAAUUCAUUAAAUCCGCGA
rnacentral:rRNA from 1 species